rnacentral:rRNA from 1 species
UUCGCAAUGCCCGAAAGGGUGACGAAGCGACGCCGCGUGUGGGAAGAAGGCCUUCGGGUUGUAAACCACUGUCGGGAGUUAAGAAAUGCAAGGAUAUGAAUAGUGUCUUUGCUUGACUAAGGCUCCGGAGGAAGCCACGGCUAACUCUGUGCCAGCAGCCGCGGUAAUACAGAGGCGGCAAGCGUUGUUCGGAAUUAUUGGGCGUAAAGAGCACGUAGGCGGCUGUGUAAGUCGGUUGCGAAAGCCUUCCGCUCAACGGAAGAACAGCAUCCGAUACUACAUGGCUUGAGUGCGGGAGGGGAGAGUGGAACUUCUGGUGGAGCGGUGAAAUGCGUAGAUAUCAGAAGGAACGCCGGCGGCGAAAGCGGCUCUCUGGCCCAUAACUGACGCUGAGUGUGCGAAAGCUAGGGGAGCAAACGGGAUUAGAUACCCCGGUAGUCCUAGCCGUAAACGAUGGGCACUAAGUAGAGGGGUUUU